rnacentral:misc_RNA from 1 species
CCGAGCUCAUGCCCUUACGGGUAGAUCUCCCACCCUGUGUUAUUAUUACCUUUGUUGCUUUGGCGGGCCGCCAGGCUCCGGUCAGGCUAUCGGCUUCGGCUGGUAAGCGCCCGCCAGAGGACCCUAUAUCCUGAUUAUUAGUGUCGUCUGAGUACUAUAUAAUAGUUA